rnacentral:lncRNA from 1 species
UUCUAGUGCUGAACUUCAAUUUUUCCACUUAAAGCAUUUUUAAAAAUGCUGGAUAAGCGAAGAGAUGAAUUUGAACACAUCUUGACCAUGGUAUUUAGAGUUUUGAAGAGGAAAAUUAUUAGUAGAAUGCCAGCACCAUCUUGGUGUUUUCAGUGAGAUGUAGUGGUUUGCUGGGAAUAUUUCCCACAUUACUUUCUAGAAAGUGCUCCAAAAUACUAAUUUUUACUCUUCUUAAAUUCCUUGUUUUCUGUAAAAAUUAUUCAGAAUUGGUGCUAUCAUAUAAGAAGCCCUGUGAGAUAAUUUCAGAUUAUCUUCUAUUUCAGUUAUCACUUGGUAGGAUAAUAAAUUCUUCAAACUAUCAGUCUCUAGACCUAGGAAGUUAUGGUUCUGCAUAAAAUUCUUAAGAACCCAUUCAUUAAUAUAAUGAAUGCCUUUUAUUCACAUUAAAUGACAAGAUUAACAUUUAUCAGCCAUUGUUCUUCUUUUUCCAUUAACUUUAAGGUGUCUAUUAAAUGAUUUGAGAUCAGAAUGGCAGAAUGAGGUGCAAUUCAAUACAAUGUGAGAACUGGAGUUGAUAUAAUAAGGGUUAAUGAAACAAUUGACUUCUCUGGCCACAUGUGCACCAGACAGUAAAAAGUGUGAAAGAUGCCUACUUCUACCUGCAGUCUGAUGGCUGCUAAUCAAAUUGUAUACAACCAAACACAGUGAAAGAAAUAUCAAUUGUAUGAAUAAAAGGAGUGAAUUAUAGCAGUGAGUCUGGAGUAAGGAAUUAUUAAAGUAUUUCCACAGGACAUUAAGCCAAAGCUGCCUGGUGAUUUCUGUAUGACAGUAUCUUUGCACAACUCGGUACACAGAAGCAAACUUUCUGGAACAAAAGGAAUAUUCCAAGUUUCUAGAAAAAACGGCUAAUUGGGAAAAAAAAAAAAAAGAAAAAAAUAAAGUUACCUCCUACAGUGGUGGUAGUAGGCACGACACAGUGGUUUCUCUGUGGCACCAGUUCAAAAGAAGCUCAAAAACAAAUAAAAGAAAAUACUAGUUCUACGAUUGAAGUCAGGAGAUUAAGUGAUACUGGACAACUCAUCUCUGAAGAAACUUCAGAGAGCUUUAUUUUUGGCAGGAACUUAAUGGGAGAAAAAAACAUGGAAGGAAAAAAAAAAAAAGAAAAAUGAAAAACUCUGCUUUUAUCCAGCUAUGAUUUAUUGCAUUUGCUGAAGUACCAUUCUUCCUUGGCAGUGUGCAGCAGUAGCAUUUUGGUCUCUCAGAGAAGUGAUGUUAAAGCUUAUUUCUUUUUCCUCAACUUUAAAGAAAAUCAGACCACGUUUUAUUUGUUUGUUUUCUUGUUUUCUAUCAGUUCUUCAAGUACAGAUCCUAUUGAGUAUCCUAAGGUUUUUAACAUUAAAUUAAAUGCUUGGUAUUAGAUUUUUAUGUUAGCUUAACCACAGACUGAAGUGGGCAAGAGAGAUAUUUAACUUAUGCAGAAGAAUCACAUUUUAUUUCUCCCUUCUGUGUUAUGAAAAUAAGAUUUGAAUUUAACUUUUAAUACAACUAUAUAUGAAUUAUUUAUUGUGGUGUACUUAGAGCUUGACUGGGAUCCUUGAAAUUACUAAGGCUGUUCUAAUAUGUAGAUGUAACCUUCUUUUUUUGUUGUAGUCAGAAAAUAAAAAUUAAAACUUAAAGUGUCUGUGAUAUAGA